AUGAAAUGGAAUUAAUUUGCCUCAUAACUACAACUCACUUGAAUAAAGAUUUUCAAUAAAUGUGUAAUUUAGUACUGCUAACUAACCGAGGGCGCCAUUUUUUCGAUUCGGUCGGUUGAAUUCAUCAGUCUGGCCAGCUCUUCACACAGUAAAGGUAUUUGGUGACCUCCAGUUGAGAUCUCUGCUUCGUACCUUAGGCCAUGUAGUAAAUGGCAGAAGACAGACCUGAACCAAGGAGCCAUUUAGGAGACCAUGGUGGGAAUACGUGAGAUGCCACUGAUGUUACCAGAGGACAUUGGGAUUGUCCUGGAAGGCCAGGUGGUACUGCAUGAUCUGGACAACGUUGCCUUAGCUGCUGCCAUGUUGUUUGGACUAAUGUAUGCCUUGAACCUCAACUACCCUCCUGAACUUAAGUACUCUUUCAAAGUGCUCCAGAAAGUUGUGAUGGAGCUGGAUGACAACACACUGUCAAAGAAAGCCCAGGGACUCAAAAACAAACUAUAAGUGAGCCGUUGCCAUUUUAGGCAACCUGGAUACAACAGUACCCUUUCUUCUUGUAACAUGGACCAUUGCUGCUUUUUUAUUGGACUGGACUUUCGACACUUAUGCAACUCACUUGCGCUGAUUUAUUUAUGUAUUUGUUUACUGCAAGUGUAGUGUAUUUGUUUCAGCAGAUUAUUUCUCUCAGGGUCAUGUGAGGCAUAAUGUAUCUCUUUCAUUUUAUGUCAGCUUUGUCAGAUGUGGGAGAGAUCCAAACAGCUUCCCCUAUUUUAAAAUGUAGAGGUGAUUUUGUUUUUUUGCACAUUCGUAACUGUAAUAUAGAAGUGGUGGGAAAGCAAUUACUCCUUAAUUCUAUAACUCUUUAAUUCCAGAACCCUUGCAGUUAAAGGAGCACAAUAACUUUUCAAGCACUGCACUUACAUUUACCAGAGUGUAAUGAUUUCAUUACAUUCAUCUUCUUUGUUGUUAAGAGGUUGUAAAUAUAGUGGAUGUAUUUUGCACUUUUUUGCAUAAAUUUGCAAGACAUUUCUGCAUUAAUCUGGCUGUAGUAUAAUUCCCUAUUGAUGCUGGUUUGAUGUCAUUCAGAAGGUUUUUAAUGACCAACAGUGUUGCCUCAGGUUGUAGCAGAAUGUUUACAAUGCACUCUUGAUAACUUGGCUACCAAGUGUCUGUAAGGAAAAAGGUGCUUUGUUUUAACGUGAGAAUGGUUUGUAUAUGUAUGCCUUUAUUUGUGUGUACAUUGCAUAGAACCGAUUGAAGUAUUGUUAGUAACUCUAUUUUUUGACAAUACACUUUCAAAAGAAAUGUUUUUGUGUAUACCUUAUCUGUUCUGAAAAUGUUACAGGAGUAAAACUGUAGGUAAGAUUAAAAAGAAAUCAGCGUACAGAAA